UCCUGUGCGUCGUGUUCAGGUCCGUGAA
rnacentral:piRNA from 1 species